rnacentral:tRNA from 1 species
GGUUCCGAAGUGAAGUGGUUACACACUCGCUUCACAUGUGAGAGGCCCUAGGUUCGAGCCCCCAGUAGAAUCA